rnacentral:rRNA from 1 species
AUAGCAAGAGUGAACCACCUGAUCCCUUCCCGAACUCAGAAGUGAAACCUCUUCGCGCUGAUGGUAGUGUGGGGUUACCCAUGUGAGAGUAAGUCAUCGCCAG